AUGAUCCACCCUGAUCCACAGAAGAGGCCUUCCGCAGCAGCUCUGGCCAGAAGUCGAAUUAUUCGGCCCUUCCUGGAGAAGACAGAUGAACUCCAGGAGCAACUGAACUUGGAGAAGUCCAAGACAGCCACUCUGGAAAGGGACCUGAUGAAAGCUAAGCAAAUCCAGAUCCCUCAGAGAGACACCUACCAUAGUGAUCCUGGGACCCCUGAGGCCUUUGAAGACUCAAACACAUGACACCUGGUGGGAGGAAUGAGUGAAGCGUCCUAAGGAUUCACCUGUGUGCAAUUUUCCUUAUAAGCACUCACUUGUCACCAGCCAGCCUUUUGCCACACAGCCUUCAGAAGACUCCCAGGGUGCAGCAAUGGACCAGCUUGAAUGCACAGAGAUUUCAAAAGCCAUGCGGUGUAGCAUCUAGAGAAAGUUCACAAAACCUCUAGGGUUUCUUACAAUGAUC
rnacentral:lncRNA from 1 species